UACGGAGGGAGCUAGCGUUGUUCGGAAUUACUGGGCGUAAAGCGCACGUAGGCGGCUUUGUAAGUUAGAGGUGAAAGCCCGGAGCUCAACUCCGGAAUUGCCUUUAAGACUGCAUCGCUUGAAUCCAGGAGAGGUGAGUGGAAUUCCGAGUGUAGAGGUGAAAUUCGUAGAUAUUCGGAGGAACACCAGUGGCGAAGGCGACUCGCUGGUCUUUUGCUGACGCUGAGACGCGAAAGCGUGGGGAGUAAACAGG
rnacentral:rRNA from 1 species